rnacentral:lncRNA from 1 species
GCAAAAAAUAUAAAAAUUAAAUCGAUUUUUGCUUAAAAGAAAAGGCAAUAGCUUCCAUGCAGCCAAGUCUAACAGCCGUGACCCAAAUCCAAGCCGUUCACUCUGUACGUAAUAGUAGAGAUACUGAUUAAGAUCUUAAUACUGCAUCCGGAUGGAGACCAAAAUAUAGGACUACAGUUUCUAUACCAAGCUAGGUUGGUUAGAGUUGCAAGAACUCAGAGACAAAUAGAAAUACCGGCUGAUGUAAAGAUAUAAGCAUGAAGGUGUUGCAUUUUCUUGAUAUAGUUAUUUCUUUUUUCUCAUUAAUUUAAAGUAGAGUACAUUUCUCUAUACCAAAAGAAAAGGACACGUCCUUCUGCAUGUAACUUGUUGAGAUUCAUGCAUCUUCACCUCUAGUAGUUUUGCAUUUCCACUCAUAGAUUCUUCAUUAUAAAACGCCAUUUCAGACAUAUACCUCCCUUCCCUCUCAUAUACAUCUCCCCACCCCCCUC